AUUGAACGCUGGCGGCAGGCCUAACACAUGCAAGUCGAGCGGAUGAAGGGAGCUUGCUCCUGGAUUCAGCGGCGGACGGGUGAGUAAUGCCUAGGAAUCUGCCUGGUAGUGGGGGAUAACGUCCGGAAACGGGCGCUAAUACCGCAUACGUCCUGAGGGAGAAAGUGGGGGAUCUUCGGACCUCACGCUAUCAGAUGAGCCUAGGUCGGAUUAGCUAGUUGGUGGGGUAAAGGCCUACCAAGGCGACGAUCCGUAACUGGUCUGAGAGGAUGAUCAGUCACACUGGAACUGAGACACGGUCCAGACUACUACGGGAGGCAGCAGUGGGGAAUAUUGGACAAUGGGCGAGAGCCUGAUCCAGCCAUGCCGCGUGUGUGAAGAAGGUCUUCGGAGUGUAAAGCCCUUUAAGUUGGGAGGAAGGGCAGUAAGUUAAUACCUUGCUGUUUUGACGUUAAUAACAGAAGAAGCACCGGCUAACUUCGUG
rnacentral:rRNA from 1 species